UGCUUGGACUACAUAUGGUUGAGGGUUGUA
ensembl:rRNA 2SrRNA:CR45843 2S ribosomal RNA:CR45843